AGUGAACGCUGGCGGUAGGCCUAACACAUGCAAGUCGAACGGCAGCACAGUAAGAGCUUGCUCUUACGGGUGGCGAGUGGCGGACGGGUGAGGAAUACAUCGGAAUCUACUUUUUCGUGGGGGAUAACGUAGGGAAACUUACGCUAAUACCGCAUACGACCUACGGGUGAAAGCAGGGGAUCUUCGGACCUUGCGCGAUUGAAUGAGCCGAUGUCGGAUUAGCUAGUUGGCGGGGUAAAGGCCCACCAAGGCGACGAUCCGUAGCUGGUCUGAGAGGAUGAUCAGCCACACUGGAACUGAAACACGGUCAGACUCCUACGGGAGGCAGCAGUGGGGAAUAUUGGACAAAGGGCGCAAGCCUGAUCCAGCCAUACCGCGUGGGUGAAGAAGGCCUUCGGGUUGUAAAGCCCUUUUGUUGGGAAAGAAAAGCAGCAGGUUAAUACCCCGCUGUUCUGACGGUACCCAAAGAAUAAGCACCGGCUAACUUCGUG
rnacentral:rRNA from 1 species